GUCUGAGAAGAGUGGCACAACCAAACAUCAUCCCAGAAGCGAAUCGGCUUACCAUUGCCCAAUCAAAGUCUAGCCCAAGUUCUGCCUGAAAGUUUCUUUGUACCAAAUAAUACCAUUCUAGAUGCAGGAUAUUUUUUAGGUGGGUUGGUCAAUCCAUUCUUUCCAUUGGAGAGGUACUUAGCAGCAAAAUAUGAGCACCAUGGCUUUUUCUUUUCCUUUGGAAAUCUCCAUAGCCACUUCAUAAGAAGGGCU
rnacentral:lncRNA from 1 species